rnacentral:misc_RNA from 1 species
UUAUUUAUAUAAAGAGACUGAUGUUAGAACAGAUUUUAUAUUAUUUGAAAAAAUAUUUACCUUUAUCAUCAUCUUUUCUUCUUUUCUGUUCGGUUGUUACUGCUGAUUCGUCUGUCCUAUCCUGCAAGAUACGAAAAAAGCUAGAAUAUGUUAUUAAUGUGUCAUUUAUUAAAAAUUUGAGGCAUACCCUUUUUCGUGCAAAUUUCUUUUCCCUGCGCAAUUCUUUCUGUUCGUCCCUUAUUUUGCCUUUACUCGAGCGUUCUUUUUUGUCAAGACUUCCUUCAGCACGUCUACCCUCCUACCUUAUCCCCUACGUGAUGAAAAUCUGCUUCGCGAAUCAUAUUUGGAGUUUUGGCUUUUAAUUGGCCACUGUACGACGUUGCUAGUACGUGCAAAUCUUGGCGUUGUCCACGUUCCUCCUCUCUCACUUUUUCUACUUUACGUUCAAGAAUUUGAGAUAAUUUUGCCAGAACAGGGAAAUGUGGUAAUAUUUUUAUUAAUAUUAUCAAGGAAUUUCUUAUUUGUACGUAGUCCUUAGAAUCCAAACAAACUACAAUCGCC